GUGAAGUGAGCAGCACAAAUACUAAAAUUGGAAUGAUACAGUGAGAUUAGCAAUGGUCCAUGCACAAGAAUUAUACACAAAUUCUUCAAGGGUUCCAUAUUUUC